CGCGUAGGCGGUCGGGUAAGUCGAGUGUGAAAUUCCGGGGCUCAACCCCGCGAACUGCAUUCGAUACUGCUCGACUAGAGAAAGGUAGGGGCGAGUGGAAUUCCCGGUGUAGCGGUGGAAUGCGUAGAUAUCGGGAAGAACACCGGUGGCGAAGGCGGCUCGCUGGGCCUUUUCUGACGCUGAAGCGCGAAAGCGUGGGGAGCAAACAGGAUUAGAUACCCUGGUAGUC
rnacentral:rRNA from 1 species